GUGCCAGCAGCCGCGGUAAUUCCAGCUCCAAUAGCGUAUAUUAAAGUUGUUGUGGUUAAAAAGCUCGUAGUUGAACCUUGGGCCUGGCUGGCCGGUCCGCCUCACCGCGUGCACUGAUCCGGCCGGGCCUUUCCCUCUGUGGAACCCCAUACCCUUCACUGGGCGUGGCGGGGAAACAGGACAUUUACUUUGAAAAAAUUAGAGUGCUCCAGGCAGGCCUAUGCUCGAAUACAUUAGCAUGGAAUAAUAAAAUAGGACGCGCGGUUCUAUUUUGUUGGUUUAUAGGACCGCCGUAAUGAUUAAUAGGGACAGUCGGGGGCAUCAGUAUUCAACUGUCAGAGGUGAAAUUCUUGGAUCAGUUGAAGACUAACUACUGCGAAAGCAUUUGCCAAGGAUGUUUUCAUUAAUCAGGAACGAAAGUUAGGGGAUCGAAGACGAUCAGAUACCGUCGUAGUCUUAACCAUAAACUAUGCCGACUAGGGAUCGGACGGUGUUAUUCAUGACCCGUUCGGCACCUUACGAGAAAUCAAAGUGCUUGGGCUCCAGGGGGAGUAUGGUCGCAAGGCUGAAACUUAAAGAAAUUGACGGAAGGGCACCACCAGGGGUGGAGCCUGCGGCUUAAUUUGACUCAACACGGGGAAACUCACCAGGUCCAGACACAAUAAGGAUUGACAGAUUGAGAGCUCUUUCUUGAUUUUGUGGGUGGUGGUGCAUGGCCGUUCUUAGUUGGUGGGGUGACUUGUCUGC
rnacentral:rRNA from 1 species